AAAUAAUUGUGUUUUAUGGUCUUAAUUUAAGGUAAGGAUUAGCAGUGUGUUUAAGGUUAGGAUUAAAAUCAGAUUUUGUCAGCUGGUGACCACUUUGCACAACUGCCUCCAGAACAAGAUUCAUGACAAUAAAUGCCAACCUGCCUCCAGAACAAGAAUCAUGACAAUAAAUGCCAACCUGCCUCCCUGUCAUCCCCUCCUAAUCUUUACAAGGCUGCAGAACAUGCAAGCUAGUGAUGUGGGGGUUCUCUCAUAACCCUCAGUCCCCAGGUGGGUAGAUGGCAGGUUGAAUAAAGAGAAGCUAGUGAUGUGGGGGUUCUCUCAUAACCCACAGCCCCCAGGUGGGUAGAUGGCAGGUUGAAUAAAGAGAAGCUAGUGAUGUGGGGGUUCUCUCAUAACCCUCAGUCCCCAGGUGGGUAGAUGGCAGGUUGAAUAAAGAGAAGCUAGUGAUGUGGGGGUUCUCUCAUAACCCUCAGUCCCCAGGUGGGUAGAUGGCAGGUUGAAUAAAGAGAAGCUAGUGAUGUGGGGUUCUCUCAUAACCCUCAGUCCCCAGGUGGGUAGAUGGCAGGUUGAAUAAAGAGAAGCUAGUGAUGUGGGGGUUCUCUCAUAACCCACAGCCCCCAGGUGGGUAGAUGGCAGGUUGAAUAAAGAGAAGCUAGUGAUGUGGGGGUUCUCUCAUAACCCUCAGUCCCCAGGUGGGUAGAUGGCAGGUUGAAUAAAGAGAAGCUAGUGAUGUGGGGGUUCUCUCAUAACCCUCAGUCCCCAGGUGGGUAGAUGGCAGGUUGAAUAAAGAGAAGCUAGUGAUGUGGGG
rnacentral:lncRNA from 1 species